rnacentral:lncRNA from 1 species
ACAAGAUACAUGGAGAAAAGUUUUGCUUUCAGAGAAACCAAGGUAAACCAUCAAGUUGAAAUUCAGUACAAUUCACUCUGUUAAUAAUGGAGAUAAAAAUGGCUCAUAAGAAUGAUGUUUAUCACAUCAUGAGUUUUAGAUAAAAAAAAUGUGUAUAAGGGUCCAUAAACAUGUUUAUCACAUGGAGAAAAGUUUUGCUUUCAGAGAAACCAAGGUAAACCAUCAAGUUGAAAUUCAGGACAAUUCACUCUGUUAAUAAUGGAGAUAAAAAUGGCUCAUAAGAAUGAUGUUUAUCACGUCAUAAGUUUUUGAUAAAAAAAAUGAGUAAAUAAGGGUCCAUAAACAUGUUUAUCACAUGGAGAAAAGUUUUGCUUUCAGAGAAACCAAGGUAAACCAUCAAGUUGAAAUUCAGGACAAUUCACUCUGUUAAUAAUGGAGAUAAAAAUGGCUCAUAGAAUGAUGUUUAUCACACCAUAAGUUUUAGAAUAAAAAAAGUGUGUAUAUAAGGGUGCAUAGAACAUAGAUUAGGACCUCGUGGGACCUUCAACCUUUUAGAAGGUUAGGAACCGGUUCAGGGUGCGAUGGUAAGCCUUAUUUCUUAAGAGCAUCAAGAGUUCACUAGAGCUUAAUGGAAGUUAAUUAAUUCCCUUCGUUGUUUUCAAAUCACCUACCUCGAGAUGAUCAUACAUACGAAAACAAAUAGUGCAGCUCAUUGCAUCUAUUUUGCAAAUGAUUCUAAGAUUAAAUCCUAGUUCAUCAGAGCAAACCAGAUAAGCAUUCUAAAAACAAAUUACUAAAAAAGAGGUGGUAGCAAUUCAUAUAGAG